ensembl:lincRNA Mir124-2hg Mir124-2 host gene (non-protein coding)
GCUCCACAGAGCAAUAUCUUGGGCUGCGUGUGCAGAGCGUAGACAAUGAAAAUCUCCGCCCCCUCCCCCAUGCUCUCAAGUCUUCAAGAUUUUUUUCUUUCCUUCACAACGAUGGAAGCUAUGUAAAAAUCAAAUACACAGAGAUGUAUAUACUUUUUUUUUUUAAAGCACAGACUAACAAACCGAAGGACCUGACCAUGGAUUAUUCAAGGACUCACCUGCUGGGGAGCGCUCUGGGGUCUCCGCACAAAACCUGCUUUUGAGCCCUUUGGCUUUCUUCAGGCGAGCGCAGUCCGUCCAUCCCCCUGGCCCACCCAGCCGCAAGGGAUGCUGUGAAAAGAGCCGCUGCUUGCCGCCUCCGGCCUGCCGUCCAGAGGGCUCCGCCCGUAGAGGCUUAUAUGGAGUAAAAUAAUGUAGAAUGCUGCAUCACCCCUCAGCACCGUGAAUUUAGAAGUUCCAGCAUGUUGUGAAGCAGACACAUCUUUGCUAUGAACACUGUGACUCACUACAUCAGUGCUGGUAUAAUAAAAUGCUUC